rnacentral:piRNA from 1 species
CAAGACAACAGAGUUGAGGCAGAGG